rnacentral:rRNA from 1 species
AGAUUGAACGCUGGCGGCAUGCCUAACACAUGCAAGUCGAACGGGAGUAGCAAUACUCUAGUGGCGGACGGGUGAGGAAUACGUAGGAAUUUGCCCUUAAGUGGGGGAUAACCCGGGGAAACCCGGAGUUAAUACCGCAUGACCUCGAAAGAGCAAAGUGGGGAUCGCAAGACCUCACGCUUUUGGAGAAGCCUACGUCGGAUUAGCUAGUUGGUGA